ensembl:processed_transcript
AGAGUUGCAAAAAGCUGUCCAAAGUUUCAGCACCAUCUUUAAGCCUAUGAUUUUAGUGUGUUUCAUGCCUAAGCACAUGAGUUUAAAUCUGAGAUAGAUGAACUAUAUGAUUAUCUUAAACUGAUCUACAGGUAAAUGCCAAAACUUAUUGGUUUACUUAUUUGUUGUUGUUUUUUUUUUGUUGUUUUUUUUGUAUAUGUUAACCAGGUGAAAUGGAGUGAGGCAUACCAGGAUAUGUGUGGUUUUACUCUUGGGAAGGAGGUUGAACAGUUCAAUAUUUCUUCUAUAGGAUUGGAGUGACCAGACAUGCUACUGUAACUCUCAUGGUCAUGUGCUGGAAUUAGCAGAUAUUCAACAAUUUGGCCAUCUCGCUGACCUGUUGAUUUCAGAAGACUGCAACAGCUCUGCAAAGCAAGUUGCAAAACACAAUCCAUGGAACUGGCAGUGACCGGAAAC